rnacentral:tRNA from 5 species
GGAAGGGUGGCAGAGUGGUUGAAUGUACCGCCCUGGAAAGGCGGCAUACGGAAAUUCCGUAUCGAGGGUUCGAAUCCCUCCCCUUCCGCCA